UGCUGAGGAUGGGACCGAGGUGGCCUACAUCGAGUAUGAUGUCAAUUCUGACUGUGCACAGCUGCCAGUGGACACCCUGGAUGCUUAUCCCUGUGGCUCAGACCACACGCCCAGCCCCAUGGCCAGCCGGGUCCCGCUGGAAGCCACACCAAUUCUGGAGUGGCCAGGGAUUCAGCUAACAGCUGUGGCAGUCACCAUGGAAGAUGGACACACCAUUGCUUUCCUGGGUGAUAGUCAAGGGCAGCUGCACAGGGGAGCGAUGGCCACCCAUACUCCACACAGAG
rnacentral:sRNA from 1 species